rnacentral:rRNA from 1 species
GUGAGGAAUAUUGGUCAAUGGGCGCAAGCCUGAACCAGCCAUCCCGCGUGCAGGAAGACGGCGCUAUGCGUUGUAAACUGCUUUUCCAGGGAGAGAAACUUGCGCACGUGUUGCGCAAUUGACGGUACCCUGGGAAUAAGCAUCGGCUAACUCCGUGCCAGCAGCCGCGGUAAUACGGAGGAUGCGAGCGUUAUCCGGAUUCAUUGGGUUUAAAGGGUGCGUAGGCGGACUAUUAAGUCAGUGGUGAAAUCCUGCAGCUUAACUGCAGAACUGCCAUUGAUACUGAUAGCCUUGAGUUUGGUUAAGGUAGGCGGAAUGUGUAAUGUAGCGGUGAAAUGCUUAGAUAUUACACAGAACACCAAUUGCGUAGGCAGCUUACUGAGCCGACACUGACGCUGAGGCACGAAAGCGUGGGGAUCGAACAGGAUUAGAUACCCUUGUAGUCC